rnacentral:misc_RNA from 1 species
GCGGUUGAGUGCUGCUUGUAAAGCCAGUGGGAGCGGACGCUUCCAUACCAGUGUCGUGUUGAUAUAACAUAUUAUCUUUUUACUUUGACGUCAAUAACCAUUCACGUGAGGAGUUGUUGUGAUUGUCAGUUGACCAGUUUAGGGAGAAAUUGUUGUAAUUGGACCCAUGAGGGGUUGUGAGUGUGUGAGGACUGGCUAGCCUUGAUAUCCACUACGACCAGGAGUGUGUGUAAGGGAUUCCCUGCUAUGUCUUCCAUGCUGCUUCAUUCAUCAUGAGGUGAUCACCAUCAAUAGCAACUGUUCAACAACAUCCCAGAACAGAAAGAUUGUUCAAAUGAUCCAUCAUCAUCAUCAUGGCAUCAUGGAUGAUACUGGGCCUCCACCUCUUAUACCUGUGGACGCGCACAAGUUAUGCCAACAUUGCAUGCAGCAAAUGCGAGAUAAACCGAAGCUCUAAUCAGAUUACCUGUCCAGAUUCAUUUCACGCGCAGAAAUUCACAGUCACAUUAAGUGACCUCAAAGAUUACCCACAGAGUGCUUUAACUCUCAAGUGCCAUCAUAAAGCGGAAAAUAUCAAUAUAUCACUAAUUGAGGACUGUCAGUUUUCUUCUGUGAAGUAUGUACGUUUUGAGCGGUGUCCUUUGUUUAAUGUGUCUUUCAGCGAGUUCUUUCAACAAAUUGGUAUACAUCCAGAGAAUGUGACUUCUCUCUUAUUUGUUGAUGUUGGUCAGAGAGAUCAAUAUGACUUACAGGAGUGGCACCUUCAAGGUCUCGGCAAUCUUAAGAAUUUGUUGUUUGAUGGCAAUCAAUUUUCUUCCAUACCACAAAAUCUAUUAAAAGCAACUCCAGAGUUGAAACAUUUUAGGUUUUCUAUCAAUAAAUUGGAAACUCUCCCACAAUCUUUAUUUGCAAGUACACCAAACCUCACAGAAGUUUAUUUGCAUACAAAUGAGUUUACUAGUUUGCCAGAUAAUUUGUUUGCAAAUCUUCCCAAAUUGACAAAUUUGAGCUUAUGGAAGAAUAACUUGACUGAAAUUCGUCCAGAAUUAUUAUCAACAAUUCCAAAUCUGCAGUCUCUUGAACUUUCACAUAACAAUAUAUUACACCUAGAUUCAAAAGUGUUUUCCAAUCUUCCAAACCUUAGAAAGAUUUUGCUAAAUACAAACUCGCUUGAAUCUCUCCCUGUGGAUAUUUUUCAUAACUGUCCAAGUUUGGAAAUUCUCAAUGCCGAAUACAAUAAGAUUCCUGCAUUGCCUUCAGAGCUAUUCAAGAAUUCAAAAAAAAUUGAUACACUGGAAUUCGGCAAUAACCAAAUUGCCAACAUCCCAGAGAACACAUUUCAAGGACUAAAUAACAUGGUCAAACUGAAAUUAAACAGAAACAGUUUAAAAAGUUUGUUUCCUAAUGUGUUUGCAGACCUGACAAGUCUUGAGACACUGGACCUGCAGUCAAACCUGCUGGAAUAUCUUCCACAUGGCUCCUUUGAUAACUUGAGGAAACUGAACACAUUAGUUCUGAAAAACAAUAGCCUAAGUGAACUACCUGAUAAUAUUUUUAAGAACUGUGAAAACCUCAACAAUCUCCAUGUGAGCCACAACAAGAUCAAUGUCCUCCACAGCUCUUCAUUCCCACAUCCAACUUCAACCCUUCAAGUUUUAGAUCUGAGCAACAACAAUAUAUCUUUUUCUUCAAUCAGAAAUAGUACAUCAAUAGCUUCUCAAGAGAUCACAGUUGAAGAGCAUUUUCCUCUUUCUGAACAAAUAAAACUACAUGAUUUGAGCCUAAGCAGCAACAGCAUAAAUGCUGUACCACAGGCAUUUAGUACAGAGUUAAAAGAGCUAGCAAAACUAAAUUUAAAAGGAAAUAAUAUUGAAUAUUUGGAGAGCAAUGAUCUUUCAUUCAUGUCAAAUGAUGUGAUUGUUGAUCUUAGCUAUAACAAAAUCAAAGGUAUAUCCCUACAAGAAAUGGAAUAUAUUCAUUCCCAAAAGACUGUUAAUGUGUAUUUUCAAGGCAACCCAUUGAUUUGCAACUGUGAUAUCUACCAGCUUGCAAGACUGUUACAAGGAAGAGCUGAAGAGACUGAAAACAUGUUCCAGCUUAAUGUUAUAGAUCAAGAUAAAGUAAAAUGUUCAUAUCCAGAGAAGCAGAACAUAGAGUUUCCUGUUAAGGCGGUUAACACGGAGAGUCUAGUGUGCAGACUUAAGAGCUGUCCUGCCAUGUGUACUUGCUUUACACGACCCCAUGAUACAAUGUUCAUCAUUAACUGCUCAUAUCAAGGACUCAAAGCCAUACCAAAACUAAAGGAUAACUACUUGCCUGAAGGAAACCUCUCAAUAACUUUAAAUUUGAGAAACAACUCUAUUACAGACUUGAGUGGUCUUCAAGACCCGGAAUAUUCAAGUCUUGUGAAUCUGACAAUACCAAAUAAUAAGCUAUCAUUUAUUAAUGAUUCAGUUUUACCUCAACAUUUGCAAGUUCUCGACAUCCGUGGUAAUAACUUCACAUCUCUUCCAAAGUCAAUAUUAGAGCUUUUUAACUCUUCAUCUGUUAUUCUUAGUCUGGGAGACAAUCCCUGGAGGUGCAACUGUGAUCUUGACGACUUACACAAUUUCCUUCGGGAGCCCAACAGAAAGGUGACUGACUCCCAUAACAUAAUCUGCCUCAACAUAGAGGAGCCUUUAAUUCAAGUGAAAAAAGAAGACCUGUGCCCCAUUAUCCAGCAGCCUAUGAUUAUAGCCAGCAUCACCUCUAUAACCAUCUUCCUCUUCCUGUUUUUUGUACUUGGAACCGUAAGUGUUUAUAAAUAUCAGCAGGAUAUUAAAGUGUGGUUAUUUACCCAUCGCUUGUGCCUGUGGGCCGUCGCACAAGAGGAACAAGACGCUGACAAGAAGUAUGAUGCUUUUAUCAGCUAUUCAAACAAAGAUGAAGAAUUUGUGAAUUCAGUGUUGGUACCUGGUCUUGAAUCUGGUGAUCCUAAGUACAAAGUGUGUCUCCAUUACCGUGACUGGAUCCCUGGAGAGUACAUCCAGAACCAAAUUGACCAGAGUAUUGAGGCCAGCAGCCGAACCAUUGUGAUACUGUCGUCCAAUUUUAUUGAAAACGUCUGGGGGCAAUUGGAGUUUAAAACUGCUCAUUCCAAAGCCCUAAAAGAUAAAACUAACAAGAUCAUUGUUAUUGUUUUUGGAGAGGUGCCACCAGACUCCGAACUUGACGACGAACUUAGGCUCUAUUUGUCAACAAGGACAUACCUCCAGUGGCGUGAUCCCAAGUUCUGGGAGAAGCUGCGGUACGUCAUGCCACAUCCUCAACAAUUCAUUACAAAGCAACAUAAAAGAAAAGAAAAUUUAAAGUUGGAACUUGUUCAUUCAAAUUCAAAACAAAACACCUGAAUUUGUUUUAUCGUGUGCAGAUAUGAGUAGCAGAAAAUACAGUACUCCAUUGAGUAGCUAAACGGAAGUAUAUUAUUAUCUAAAACUUAGGUCAUUUCUGCAUUCUCAUAGUGUUUAGUGAAAUAUACACUUAUCAAUAUUGACACUUUAUAUUUCAAAGUCAUUGCUGGAGACAAUGUGUGUUGGAAUGCAGAAGUGUCUUUCAGGGAGUCUGCAGUAGAACUGAAAUCCUUCAAGGAUUCAAGUGUUACCUAAGUAAAGGCUAAUAACAAAUGGGGAAAAAACAAAGGCCGAAGCGUGAGAGCUACGGCCUCAUACGCAUGGGGUCCAGGGUUCGACUCCUACAGCCCGGGUGAAUGGAAGGUAAAGGAUAAUAUUAAUGUAUCGAAUCUUUCGUGUUGACUUCUGAUGACAGUAUAUUGUCACAUUAUUAUUAUAGAUUAUCCUCAGUGAAACAUUUCCUUUAUAUAAGAGUUCUGUAUAUAUAUAUUUUAGCCCAUUGUUUACUGCCAUUUAAAAACAGUAGAUAAUGAUGUAUGACUGAAUGGCUGCUACAGCUUGCCUGCUGACAGUACUCAAAUCUUCCUAGUCAAAAUGUCAUUUUGGUACUUCAUAUUGUUCAAGAGAAUGCUAACAAAAAUGCUGUCUUGCUUCAAGGUUUUAGUUUUAUGAACUAUGUCCUUAUUAACUCAUUUAUUUCACCUCUGGUACCUUACUGGCUUUGUGGUAAAUCUGUGGAGUUUAAGUUUUCUUCUUGUGCUUUACUGGAAGCUCCAUACUUUAGGCGUCUUAACACUUUAGCCAUCUGGCUUAUCGGCACAUUCCCGACCAUAAACAUUCUGGGUCCCCCAGUCACUCAGCAGUGCAAAAAAAAUUUACAAUCAUAUAUUUACAAAGUGUAAAGUAAUCAAAAUGGGUAAGGAAGAUUGGAGACCUGUAUUUAACUAUACCAUAUAGAGAAAUUACAACUAUACCAAUUACAAGAAAUAAUGAGAAAGAUCUGGGAGUAGACAUACACUUAACACCAGAAGCUCAUGUGAACAGGCAGCAGCAUACAGGAAGUUAGCAAACGAUGUUAUUUAACCCACUUUAGUUCCGAGGAUUCCUUUGUGUGUGGAAUACUGGUAAAAGAAAUUACCAAAUGGGUUGCGAUGUUCACAGAAUUGGAGCUGGAUGCAAAGAUGUGCGUUUGUCAGUAUUCUUAAAUGGAUCAAUAUCGAGUACCAAAAAAUUAUCAAGUGCUACACAAUGUGCAAUUUUAAAGUUUAAAAGAUAAAAGCAGGCAAGAGGCUAUAGGAAAUGGAGGAAGUUACAGUACUCUGGAUAUGAUGAAAAACCAACACUCUUUCCAAUAACAUUUGAAGAAUACUUUAAUGUUUUUCUUCAAAAUAUGACGACGGUGAAUGUUUACAAAUGUACAAAUGUUGUGUAGUAAAUAAAUGUUGGAAAAUGUU